UACGUAGGGUGCAAGCGUUAAUCGGAAUUACUGGGCGUAAAGCGUGCGCAGGCGGUGAUGUAAGACAGGUGUGAAAUCCCCGGGCUUAACCUGGGAACUGCAUUUGUGACUGCACGGCUAGAGUGUGUCAGAGGGGGGUAGAAUUCCACGUGUAGCAGUGAAAUGCGUAGAGAUGUGGAGGAAUACCGAUGGCGAAGGCAGCCCCCUGGGAUAACACUGACGCUCAUGCACGAAAGCGUGGGGAGCAAACAGG
rnacentral:rRNA from 1 species